AUUGAACGCUGGCGGCAGGCUUAACACAUGCAAGUCGAGCGAGCGGCGGACGGGUGAGUAAUGUCUGGGAAACUGCCUGAUGGAGGGGGAUAACUACUGGAAACGGUAGCUAAUACCGCAUACCAUCAGAUGUGCCCAGAUGGGAUUAGCUAGUAGGUGGGGGAAUGGCUCACCUAGGCGAAGAUCCAUAGCUGGUCUGAGAGGAUGACCAGCCACACUGGAACUGAGACACGGUCCAUACUCCUACGGGAGGCAGCAGUGGGGAAUAUGGCACCAUGGGCGCAAGCCUGAUGCAGCCAUGCCGCGUGUGUGAAGAAGGCCGUCGGGUUGUAAAGCACUUUCAGCGAGGAGGCGUUACUCGCAGAAGAAGCACCGGCUAACUCCGUGCCAGCCGCCGCGGUAAUUC
rnacentral:rRNA from 1 species